AUUGAACGCUGGCGGCAUGCUUUACACAUGCAAGUCGAACGGUAACAGGGUGCUUGCACCGCUGACGAGUGGCGAACGGGUGAGUAAUGCGUCGGAACGUGCCGAGUAGUGGGGGAUAACGCAGCGAAAGUUGUGCUAAUACCGCAUACGUACUGAGGUAGAAAGGGGGGGACCUUCGGGCCUCACGCUAUUCGAGCGGCCGACGUCUGAUUAGCUAGUAGGUGAGGUAAAGGCUCACCUAGGCGACGAUCAGUAGCGGGUCUGAGAGGAUGAUCCGCCACACUGGGGCUGAGACACGGCCCAGACUCCUACGGGAGGCAGCAGUGGGGAAUUUUGGACAAUGGGCGAAAGCCUGAUCCAGCCAUGCCGCGUGUCUGAAGAAGGCCUUCGGGUUGUAAAGGACUUUUGUCGGGGAGGAAAUCCCCAGCGUUAAUACCGCUGGGGGAUGACAGUACCUGAAGAAUAAGCACCGGCUAACUACGUGCCAGCCGCCGCGGUAACAC
rnacentral:rRNA from 1 species